rnacentral:siRNA from 1 species
UGAUGGGAAACAAGUUGUGUGGUA